UUCGCCGAUCUCGCUGUACACAAAGUCCACGUUUCUGGGUCUGCUUCUGAGAUCAUCUUGCCGUUGACUAGGCUUUAGACACGUAGGAAGCCAUUUCUUGAGUACGAGGGUAUGACAGUCUCUACAGCCAGCCCCUCCUCCUUUUUGACUGUUGUCAAGCUGAAGUCGCCUGAUUCACACUCUGAACAGAUAUACGUGGAUUGGAAGCACAGACUACUCAUUGACUAGCGAUGGAUUAGUUUUGAAUCCCAAGGAUUGGAUCUCGUCUGAUGAGAACGAAGACGGACAGUGAGACAGAGAGAUGUUUGUAGUUCAAUGAAAAUGUGUGAGUAUGAGGGAUGCUGCAUGGUCAAUAGAUUUAUGAGCAUUCUGUUGUUGACGUCUAGCUGCAGAAUUUGAUCUCACUAGUAACUGUG